AACGCAUCUUGCGCCCUUUGGUAUUCCGAAGGGCAUGCCUGUUUGAGUGUCGCAAAACUCUCAACCCUGUCUCGCUACGGGGCUUGGACCGUGGCCGUUCCGGCUGGCGCAAGUCAGCCCGGCCGAAAUACAUGCGGAGCGUUUAAGCGCUGAUCCGUGACGACUAUGCGUUGUAACCACCUCGCUUGGUCUCGCUGGCAAAGGCGUGCUCCCGAACACAUUAUUACUUCGACCUCAGAUCAGGCAGGAUUACCCGCCGAACUUAA
rnacentral:misc_RNA from 1 species